AUUGAACGCUGGCGGCAGGCCUAACACAUGCAAGUCGAGCGAGCGGCGGACGGGUGAGUAAUGUCUGGGAAACUGCCUGAUGGAGGGGGAUAAACACUGGAAACGGUAGAUAAUACCGCAUACCAUCAGAUGUGCCCAGAUGGGAUUAGCUAGUAGGUGGGGUAACGGCUCACCUAGGCGACGAUCCCUAGCUGGUCUGCGAGGAUGACCAGCCACCCUGGAACGGAUAGACGGCCGAGACGCCUGCGUGAGGCAGCAGUGGGGAAUAUUCCUCAAUGGGCGCAAGGCUGAGGCAGCCAAACCGCGUGCGUGAAGCCGGCCCUCGGUUCGUAAAGCCCUUUCCGCCGGGACGCGUUACCCACAGAACAGUCACCGGCUAACGCAGUGCCAGCAGCCGCGGUAAUAC
rnacentral:rRNA from 1 species